UACGGAGGGGGCUAGCGUUGUUCGGAAUUACUGGGCGUAAAGCGUACGUAGGCGGCUUUGUAAGUUAGAGGUGAAAGCCCGGGGCUCAACUCCGGAAUGGCUUUCGAAACUGCUGAGCUAGAGUACAGAAGGGGCAACCGGAAUUCCCAGUGUAGCGGUGAAAUGCGUAGAGAUCCGGAGGAAUACCAGAGGCGAAGGCGGCAUCCUGGCCUAUAACUGACACUGAGACG
rnacentral:rRNA from 1 species